CCGCCGAGAAGUGGAACGUGCAAACUUAACCGCUGCGCCACCGGGCCGGCCCCUGCAUGAAAUCUUAAAGAAAUUACCCAGACACUGCCCUGGUUUAACACAGGAGAGUUUUAAUGUGUUGUAAGAAAUCCUGAUAAAUACGUCUUUCCCUAAGCUCAGCAUAGAUGCCGGGACCUUUAGUGCAUCUAGAGUCUUACUGAUGGCCUCAGGAGGAUGUGCGGGGCUUCUGAGCAGGCUUCCUGUGCAUGUGAAAAUGCAUUCGCUAAAGAUGUGCACCACUGAGUCUGGUCAGAGUCGAUCCUUGGAAUACAGACUAUACGGUGCUGCUGUGUGCUGUGAUUUUCUCAAAGGCUUGGGGUGCUUCUGAGUAUUUUGCUUGCUGUAUGGUUCCUGAAACAAGAUAAUGUACCCCCUGUGGGAUAGGAGGCAUUGCUCUCUGACCGGUUGCUUGAUUAAGCUAGUGUUUAUUUCUAUCUUGGACUUUGGAGAAUUUUCAGCUGAAUUUACCUUGAAAGGAUUAUUUCUUCAAAGUUCGUUAAUAUGAUCAUUAACGCUAUGUUUCCAAAUUCAACAACACAUUUAUUCAAAACCACCGAGAGCCUACAAAUGUUGGGGUUUUGCCAGAUGCUGCCCCUGUCGAAGAUGACUUUUAGGAAUACAGAAGAUAAGAUGGAGGAGAAUGUUCAAAUUCCCCGAGGCUCAGAGUUGUAAUUUAUAAUCAUGACUCCCAAAUGGUUAAAAUUCCAGAAUAUCCAAAGCCAUUAUUUUCAUUAACUAAUGAUUGUUUAUUGAUGGGUGUUUGAGGUCAAACUAACACUCGGGGUGAAUGUACAAAAACCAAGGGCCUUUACUUCAAGGAUCUUGUAGUAACAAACCAGCCCAUUGUUGAACACUCGAACUCCUGCCAUAUAUGCAGCGUUUCCCAAGUGCUGUGGGAAGUACAAAAGAAAUCUAAACCUCUGCCCUUCAAGAAUUUGUGGUCUAGUUGGAUAUUGAGAUCAGUACGUAGGAAACAAUGGGGCCUGUAUCAGUUAGAAUGCUUUUGACAGCGAGAAACAAAAACCUCAACAGAAACUGGCUUAAGCAAGGAACUGGUUAAGUAAUUAGACAUCAGAGGUAGGACUGGUUUUAGACUAGAGAUCCAGAGGCUCAAAAACAUUAUCUAAGACCCAGGUUCUUUCAGUCAUUUCUCUCUGCCAAUCUCAAGGCCACUUCCUUGGGCUGUAGGGUGGCAGCCGGCAUCAUUCAGGGUGAAGGCUCCUUCUUUACGUCCAGUAGGAGAGAGCUGGCAUCCUAUAGCUCUCUCAGAAGAGCAAGGAAAUUACUUUCCCAGAAACUCUCAGAAAGUCUCCUGUCACUUCUCAUUGGCCCUAAUGAGUUACACACCCAUCCCUAAACCAAGCAUUUUGGCAAAGGUGAUGGGAGUACUCUAAUUGGCUCAGAUUCACCAGGGUUCACCACUGGAGCUGGGAUAAAGGUCAGCUUCCACCGAGGCAUAGCACUGCAUGGAGGAGGAGAUACCAGAAGGGGAAUAUGGGUUCAACUGAAAUGGGAUCAAACAGAUGCUGGGUUGACCAAUAAGUAUGUUCACUACGGGAUCCAAGCAAAAUGUUAAGAUGUAUGGGGAAAAUUUUGCUGUCUGUAACCACGGCUGCUUCUAGUGAUGCUGGAUGUUAUUAGAUGGACACCAUCUUGCUGGCGCCAUCUUUCAAAAUGAACCAGGUUUGGAAUAUGGAGUAGUGGGGGCUGACCAGCUCUACACAGUGGAGGCAAGAAGAAUUUGAAGGUGGGGGACUGGAAGAGGAAAAAUCCAACAGAGAAAGAGGAGCCAAUAGGACCAGGCAUUUCCUGGGGUAGGAGCAGAGAGAGAAAUGCUUGGCGUGGUGGAGGAGAGGCAGAUGAGAAGCUUGCCGAGAAGUGUGUACUGGAGAGUUUUGAAGUUGCCGCAGGCAAGUGCAAUGGAAACUCUUCCCCGGUGAGACCCUGUGAGCCUCUCUCUGAAAUGCUAUGUCAAAUUUACAUUGUUCAAUAAUCCUUUUGCUUUAGUGCUGGAGUUUAGGAAUAUUCUGCAAUAAUGCAUUUACUCUCCAGUUUGCCUUUUUGUCACUUCUGAGGGUCAUUUUUUUCCUUCCAAACAGGCUUCGGCAGCAGGGAGGCCUAGGGAGAUCGAGACACUAUCUGUGUCCUCCCCAGACCUCAACCCCUUGGUUCUUCUCGGAGGGAAAGGCAGUGGCUGGGAGGAUGCCCAGAGGGGUGCCUUCUGUCAGCAGAGAUCGGCUCUAGUGUCUCCCAGUGCGCCCGAAGGCUUCUGAGGAUGGUUAUGAUUUCUUCGUGGUGUACAAGGUGUGCAGAGAUCCCUCGUGCUGGCUUGGACUGCGUGUACAGUACAACGUCCUUUACACAGAGAGUCGUCUUUCUUUUCCUCAUUUCACAGGGGCAGUGGGAUUACACGCCUGCCCUCGUUUAUUCCUCACAACAGUCCCAUGUGACUUGCCUCCAAGAUGUGCCUGCUAUAUAAACACUCCUUCAAGACAAGUUCCUGAAUUUUCCCCUUUAACCUCAUCCUCUCCUGAAGAGAAAUUCUGGACCCACCACUGGCUACAUCUCUGUCACCCUUAAGUUACCCCAAUCAGCUGAGGGGACAUAAGCCCUCAGGAGAAGAACAUGCCCCAGUGUCUCUGAGCCCCUGGGGCCUUUGGGGGCUCUGCUAUUCAGUCCCACCCAAACCUAGUCCCUCUGCCUUGGCUGUGAGUGAGUUCAGCAGUGGCUGGGAAGCCAGUGGAUUGUGUUCCAAGUGCCAGAUGAGUGGGAGAGAGGUCUCAUGCCAGCCAGCCGGUAGUGCAUGAAGCGAAGUGGGGCGCAGGGCCUGUGGUCACGAGAGGGCCAUGCGCUCACGGAGCCUGGGUUCUGGAUCUCAUGGCUGGGAGUGUCAAGUGACCUGUUUUGAGCCAAUGGCAACUCUUCAACCAAGCAGCUGCUUCUUCGAGUGAUUGAGGAGAACUUGCCUUCAAUUACCCCGUCUCUGUCUGUUCUAAGGUAACCGGAGUUGUGAUCCUCAUGUUUAAGAAACAGCCUGUGACUUCAGCAACAAUUGACUGACUUCCUACACAUUCCUCCGCACUGCCUCUCGGGUGAUUUAAGAGGAAACAAGGUUUCCUCCUCCCGGGCUGUGCUGGACAGAGCCUCCUCCAGGUUGGGUCAGGGGAGCCUCAGCUGUGCGGCAGCAGGAAGUUUCUCUCAUCCUCCGCACCCCAUUCACAUCCUGGUAACAGGAGGAUGAGCAGGAAGUGGAAAGUGUCAGGGCGAAGUCUUUCAAGCUCGCAGUCGGCUCCGGGCAGCGCGUGGGCCUUUAGCAAAACAAUACAAAACUUUCCAAAUGGUGCUGUUAAUGGCUCUCUACAAAUACUUUACCCAGUUGUGUUAGAAAUUGUUAGUCACAAAGACUCUGGGUUAUUUAUUUAGUUUUUUCUUUUUUCAUUUUGCUAAAAAAAGAAAAAUCCAGGUUGAGUGUUGCUCUCAGUAACUCUCUGUUUGUUUGGGAAACCUUUGAUGGCAGACGGGACAGGCCACCACCGAUGGGUCUCUUGUAGGAGGGAGCAGCCGACGGCAGCCCCUCUGCUCAGGGUCAGCAAAGCCGGUUAGUCCAAGUUGAUGCUUUAAAUUUAAGAAGACGCCUCCACAUGCCAGGGGCCAGCUGCCGCCUUGCUCUGCACUCCGGGCCAGCCCAUCACUUUUUCGGGCCUCUGUGUCCUCGUGGUGAAAUGCAGGGGCUGGAACCACUACAGUUUAAUAUUAUCUGAGUCAGUGAGCCUCAGGAGAGACCCCUCAGGAUGCUCCGGGGGCAAUAACCUUGGGUAGGCCUCACACCCCUUCUCCACAGGGCGCUGCUCUCCAUCUUCGUCCUUCUUUCCCCUUCUGUGUGGGGCUGACCUCUGAAGUGCCCUUCAGCAAAUCUCCACUACUUGGUGUAAGGCAUAGUCUGGCAAUGGGGUUUUCACACACUGGUCUUCCAGGGUCCUUAUCAGGGUGAUGAUUUUUAAUUUUAGCUCUGGGAUCACAAACUGGGCCCAAAGAUGGCACCUGCUUGUAAAAUCUUUGCUUUUUCAUCGGCUUUUCUUAUUUAAGCACUCUUGUCCUCACUUACUAUUAUUCCGCUUCCUGCACAAAGGCCAUUUGCAAAAUAACCUGGGAUGCUCCUCCCUGCCCGCUCCCCACCCUUCAUCCCUUUUCUUCUUUAGCUGUUGAGGGAGUAAUGGGAAAAGGGAGCUCUGUUUUGUUAGGAGGUUGGCAUUUACCAAAAAUAACAUUUUCCCUGACUAAUUUCCAGAUACUGCCCAUCAAUUACCUUGGAAUGUAAAUAUAUUUGAAAAGCAGACCUGUACUAGGCAUGCCCCAGCUCCCACAGUUGGAGAUCUCAGGGCAAGAUCUCUUUGACUUGGUGUGAGAUUGACAUUCAGAAGCUCCAUGCGAGAUGCAAAAUCCCAUCUUCCUUGGAUUCCAAGCUAAAGGAAUGAUGCCCGGCAGAGUUACCUCUCCAUGGGGCCUCCCUAAAUUUAGAAAGUGGUGGAUGAUGACAAAGAGAAACUAUCAAAAUGGAAACAAAGCAGAUCUUUUGGGAGUUAUUUAUGUUUCUCACUUGCUAGUGAAGCCUUUUAUUCUUUGUUCUAAAUGAGAUCAUCUAUGAGAAGCAUCUGGCACCAAAUAGGUACUCAGUUAACAUAAGCAUCCUUCUGUAUUCCCACUGCUUCCCAUUUCACACGAUGGGUAGACGCUUCUACUCAGAGUUAGCAUCCUAAAGGGCUGGGGGAAUGGGCAGCGAGGAGAGAAGGAGGCUCAUAGCUGCUGGUCGAGAGCUUCCUCUCCAGAAUAGAGUUGUGCAAAUGAAAUAGUCCAGGUCUCAAUGGAUGCCUACGGCAGCCUUCAAGGAGAAGGGGCAGCCUGGGCAAUGUGUUGGGAGGGGAGCCGACUUGACCUGCCUGCUUUUCCCUGGUGGCCUGAACGACUCUAUACUUGUACACAUAGGAGUCCCAUGUCCUUUUUUAAGCAUCAGUGGGCUGAGUUGUCCCCUUCUUCCUCAGCAACUGUCUUCCCGAGUCACAUGUACUUGAGGGCUUCCCCAAGUGCAAACCACAGCCAAGUCAUUGAGUCUUUGCAAGGUCAGAUGAGGCCUGGAUCUAUGGAAUUCCCUAGGUUAGAGCCUUCUUGGCCAGCUAGUGUCUGUGAGACUGGAGGCCUGGAUGACUCAGUUAUGGGCCGUCACAGUAAAGACAUUAAAGUCAGGCUGAGAUGAUAACUAAUUCCACUGGUUAAAAUCGUUUCUCCUUUCACAGUACUUAGUUGAGAGUCUGUCGCUCAGAAGUUUGGAAAGCUAGAUUGAGAAGUACCCAGACAAAACUGGGGGGCUUUGAAGAGACUACAGAAGCUUUGGCUGUGGUGUCUGCAUCAUUCGGGAAUGUGCGAGACUGGCCAGCUCUUGCGGUUCCGGUUCACCUCCGUGUCACCCUCUCCUUGUCUCCUUGGCUUUUACACGUGUCCUUGCUGAUCUGGAUCUUCUUCCCUUGUUCUUCCAUAUCUAGACAGAGGCCAGCUGCAGCUUUCUCCCUUAAUUGUUACUGCUUCUCUGCUGUUGUGACUCUUUACAUUGCUAAAUUUGAUGAAUUUCUCUAUGUCAUGGGAGACACUUCUCUCUGAGGAGCCCUCUCCUUGGCUAUGUGGCUGGUCACUGCUCUGUGCUGACCACCUUGCCCAUCCUGGCCAGGAGCCAUGCCAUCGGCUCUGGCAUUGCAGCCUUCCCAGGCUCCCUCUGAUUUGACUCAGAUGCUGCACUCAAUGCUCCCUUUGGUCUCCACUGACUUCCGGUACAAUGCUUUCUCUGACCACCUUUGUACAAUCUCACAAAAGGCUGCUCGUGCUGCCUCAUGGUUUUGGAUGUGAAGUAGUUGCUUCUAAGCAAAGUGUGGCCAGGAGUCUGUUUUCUAGGUCAAGGGAGCUGAAUGUAGAAUUGUUGCAGCAGGCACUCUGCUAGGCACUAAGGGUCCAGAGAAGAAAGACCAUCUCUGCUUUGAGGAGCUCCCAGUCCAGUAGGGGAACCAAACAUGAACAUCUCAUUUCAAGACAAUGUGGUGAAUUGAGGGGUAGAAAGAAGAGGUGCUGAAAUUCCCUCAGAAUGUUGGGUUCAGCCAAACCUGAUGCAUGUGCCCAGCCUGCACUCUAACUGUUUGGGCUCCUGUUCUGGGUGGACAGUGCUCAGACAGAACUGAAUAUCGCCUGGACAGAAGCAAGCAGGGUACUGAGGAGGAAGACUCAGCUCAGUCCUGAGACGGGGGAGGAUAAGCACCUCCGAACUGGGGUUACUUAAGUGACAACUUGAAAGAGGGGGAAGAGUUAGGUGAGUGAGGAGGGAAGGGGUGUACCAGGCAGGGGCAUCAAUCUGAGCCCAAUCAGGGAAUUGUUAGAAGGCAAGCUGUGCGCAGACAUCCCUGACAGCUGAGUCCACAGGGUGGAGAGAGCAGUAGGGACGAGGUGCCCUGUUAAUGAUGGGCAAGCUUGAGAGAGACUUGGUCAGAGUUUUUAAAAACUAUAUCUGGUGGCCAAGAGAAAGAUGGAGUUGAGAGAGGGAGGACUGAGAAGGAAGUCUACUUAGGCGCUUGUUACAGCUAAGGGAUCCAGGAAAUGGGCGACCCAGUUCUUGAGGUGUUUUCCUCCUCCCUUCUUUUUUACAUUUCCCUCUUCUUUCAUAGCUUUGAGGCAAGUGACUGAAGGGCCAUCCUCUCCUUCCUCCUCCCUUUUGUGUUGUACUUUUUAUUUUGAAAUAAUUACAGACUCACAAGACGUAGCAUAAACAGUACAAAGUCCUCUUUAACCUUCACCCAGCUUCCCCUAAUGGUGUCAUCUUGCGUAACUUUAGUACAAUAUCAAAACCAGGAAAUUUAUUCUGAUUUCGCCAGUUUGACACACAUUUGUGUGUGUGCAGUUGUAUGCGGUUUUACUUCACAUGCAUGUUUGAGUGACCACUGCCCUACUCAAGGUAUGGAACCGUGCCAGCGCCCCCAGGGACCUCCUCAUGCGGCCCCUUUCCAGCAGCACCCUCCUUCCUGUCCUGACGGCCAUUCUGAUGAACUAAGCUAAAGCAUGUAUUCAAACUGCAGCUGACUCAGAAAGGGAAGAAAAGACCCUUCUUGCCAUAUUUAAGUCUUUUGAGUUUUUCUUCCUUACUCUGUUUGGGUCACAUUUACCUCCCUGGAGAGCUUGUGUGGGGGGGGGCCCCUGCGCUUUGGCCCUGAAGCAGGAUUGUUGUCAUCCCCUGGAGGGAUUCGGAGUCUUGCCCGGGUCCUGAGGCUGAGGACCAGCCCUUCUUUAAAGUACCUCCUUUAUGAGAUCUCUUAAAUCCUCAGCAGAGGACAGAGCUGAGGCUUGGUCAGAAAUGGAUGUGAUGAUUUUAAACAUGUAAUAGAGAGGCACAAGAAAUAAAUAGUAUGUGGCCCAAUACGUGCUUAUUUUAUAGACUUUAAAUAUUGUUCUAUUUCUUUUAAAAUACCCAUUCUUUCCCAAAUGAUGAAUCAAUAAUUCAAUAACAGCCUCUCAUCCUCACUCAGACUAUUGUGUACUUGAAGUUCACACGCAUCACUUAUAUGCAGACUGACCUCACGGCAGGUGCAUUUCGGACGUUUAUAUAUGAAGUAAAUAUUUCAAUAUUCGAUGCUAAGUUUAGUGAAUCAAAGUAGUUGUAAUUUUGGAGAUGUCACAUAAUAGCAGCUUAGAUUUGGAAUGGUCCUUCAUAUCAUCUGGUAUAAUGUUUUACAUAAUCUAGGAAUUGCUUCUCCAAAGCUCGGAUGUUUGUGGACGUCCAGGAAUCGGAGGGCAGCAGCCCACUUCGUGUGAGACAGCUUGAAUUGUUGGUAAAUUUUCCUUUUUUCAAUCCAAAAUCUUCCAUCGUAUGCAUUUCAUUUAUUGGUUAUAGUUUGUCCUUGUGAACUACUCAGGAUAAAUGUAAUCCCUUUUCCACACCCUGUCUUGUUGGAGAUUUGAAAGCAGUUCUGUUUCCUUGAAGCCUUCUCCUUCUAGUAUAAACACCUCCACUUCCUUUAACGGGUCCUUACAGGCUUCGUUUCCCAGACCCUCUGCCAUCCCGUCACUUCCUCAGGAUGUACUCUCAUUUACCCAUGUCACUCUUAGAAUGUGCCAUCCACAUUUUCUCUGUUAUCACAGAAAGAAAAACAACAACAAAGCUUGACGGUUCUAACUAUAAACCCCAUGUAGGGUAUUAAAUACUUUAAACAGUAUCCUGCUUUUGUGAUGUGAAAUCUCUGCAUUUAAUUCUCCCUACAAAUCCUGUAAGAAAAGUUAAUCGUAUGAAGCCUUCCUCCAUAUAGUAAGCAUUUGAUGAAGGUUUACUUUUAUUAUUGCUAAUUUAAAACAACUAACACUAUAUAUUUUAAGAAACAGAAAAAAAAAUUUCCCCAAACAGCCACAAAGUCACAUAUCAAAGAGCAUGAAUAAAGGGAAAAAUGACUAACCGAGAACAACGAGGCAGCUUCCCACAUUAAAAAAAAUUUUUUUUGAAAUAUAUUUGACAUAUAACAUUGUAUAAAUUCAAGGCGUACAACAUGUUAAUUGGAUACAUGUAUAUAUUGUAAUAUGAUAGCUGUUAUAGUGAGAAUUAGCACCUCUAUCAAGUUACAAGUUACAUAAUUAUCCUUUCUUCUUAGUGGCUGGAAUAAUUACCAUCUAGCCUCUUGGUAAGUUUGAGCAAAUAUCAUACAAUAUUGUUGGUCUAUAUGUACUUUACUGUGCCUUAGAUCUCCAGGGCUUGGUUACUACUUGUUGCAAGUUUGUACCCCUAAACCCCACCUGUCCUGUCCCCUCACCUCGCACCCCCUGGUAGCCACCAUUUUACUCUCUGUGCUGUGAGUUUGGCUUCUUUGGAUUCCACACUGAGUGACGUCACGCAGUCCUUGUCUCUCUCUGUCUGACUCAUCCCACUUAGCACGGCGCUCCCGGCCACAGCUCAGCAGGUAGGGCGGAGGACUGUAGCACUUUUCCUACAUCUUACCUUCAGUCGGCUUAUACUCAGACUGUCCUCACUCCCUAAGGAGGCUUUGCCUUCUGAAGGAUAAACAAUGAAAAUCAAUUCAUUAUUGACAUGCAUGGGCAACAAUCUUAGUUCUUUGCAUUCCUGAGAUAAAGCUAAGUGGACUUUUUUUUUUUUUUCAAGUUACUCUGCUAGAUGGGGGUCCCACCUGCAAGGCUCUGGGUGGUGGCAGCACGGCCUAUUGAAACCAGGAUGUCACCACACUUUGAAACCAGGAUGGAGACGGUGCUAAUUAGGUCUCUGAAUCACCUUGGAUCAUCCUUCCCUUUUCUAGAAGAAUAGUGAACGAUUGCUGCCAAAUAGCUCUAUUGUCCAGUCCUGUAAAAUUCAAGAAAUCCACAGCCUUCAUUCAUUUUGUCUUUUAUUUCUCUUUCCCUGAUCCUGGCAGUAUUUCUGCUGGUAUAAUAGUAUCUCUUCCUGGCUUCUUCUCAGGUGGCUGAUGAAAUUCCUGGUUCACACCGGUACUGAUCUCCUUUCCAAAUGGUGUUUCAGCCACAUCCUUGGUAUUCUCUCCAGAGCUCUUUCUUCUCAUUUUUUGCAAUAUGAAUAAGCUGAGAAUUUUCCAAAUCUUCAAGUUCUAGUUCUUUUUUGCUUAAAAAUUCCCUUAAUUUAUCUCUUUCUUCUCAUAUUUUACUAUAAGUUGUAAAAGGAAACUGUACCACUCCUUCAAAAUUUUGCUUCGACAUCUCCUCAGCUAAAUAUCCAGUUUCACCACUUGCAAGUUCUACCUCUCACAAAACACUAGAACAUGAUUCACCCAAAUUCUUUGCCACUUUAUAACAAGGAUCCCCUUUCCUCCAGUUUCCAGUAACAUGUUCCUCAUUUCCUCCUGAGACCUCACCAGAAUGGCCUUUAGUGUCUACAUUUCCACCAGCAUUCUGUUCAUGAUUAUUGAGAAGCUGGAGGAUCUUUCUCUAGCUCUCCUUUCUUUCUGAGCUCUCACUCAAAUUGCCUUUAACAUCCAUCUUUCUACCAGCAAUCCCUGAGUGGCAAUUCAGGCUUUUUCUAGCAUGGACCUCAAAACUCCUCCAGCCUCUACCCAUUACCUGGUUCCGAAGCUGCUUGCCCAUUUCUAGGUAUUUGUUACAGCAGCAUUCCACUUCCUGGUACCCAAAUCAAGUCUGCUUGGGCUGUCCUAACAAACGACUACAAACUGGGCGGCUUAAGCAACAGAAGUUUAUUUUCUCACAAUUGUGGACUCUGGAAUGUCCAGGAUCAAGGUUCUAGCAGGUUCGGUUUCUGUGCAGCCUCUCUCCCUGACUCGCAGACAGCGACUUCCCUGUUUGCUCUCCGUGAUGCCGUUUAGCAGCGUCCAGUAUUGCACACGCUUCCCUUGCUGGUCCUCCUCCUCCAUGAGGAGUAAGCGCCAUGAGGGCAGAGAUGCUGAUCCGUGCGACUCACUGAUGGAUCCUGGCACUUACAACAUGCCUCGCGCAUGGCAGGUGCCAAAUAGGCAUUUGUUAAGUGAGGGAAUGAGUUGCCACCCCUUUUUGUGAGUAAUAAAACAGAGAAUAUUAUUUCAUGUUGACUUUGUUCUCACUGCUGAGGAAAGGAAGCCUGGUCACACCUGCUUUUCACCUAAGGGUUUUUUCUUCUUUGUCUCCAUGAUCUAAAAGUCUUCUUGUUCAUUUUUGUUUCUUGAACCCUUACAGACGUUUCCUCGGAGCAUGUAUUUGGUUUUACGUUCCUGAGAUGUUCCUCUUGAGAAAACACGGUUUCCUGUUUCUCUCAUUAUACGUCUUAAAAUGGUAGUAAGUAAGAGGCAUAUCCUCACACAGAUAUCAUUCAAAUCCUAGAAAAGUUUCCCAUUGCAGGUGGCAGAUAGCAUUCCUGAGGUGGGAAUCCUGGUGGCCGUAAACAUAUAGUUAAAAACAAUACUAAAGGAGGCGGGAAUAGGGAGCUGUCGUGCCAUCCAGCAGCUUUGUAGUCAGAAACCCCGCCGAGCGUGAGGCUCAUUUCUCAGUGCUGGUGCAGCCACCGUCAGCCCCAGCCUGUGGGCAGAGCCUCACCCCCAGGCCUGCCUGCACCCCCCUCCCUCCCACACUCUGGGGAUGGCGACAGCGCACACGCUCCAGGCUUUGGCAUGUCCGGGUGGAAGAGUGUUUUCACAGGUGCACCCCACAGCCCAGAGUUGAAAUUCAGCCCGUACUGUGUCCCUGAACAGAAAAGUGAAAUUUCUUUUGUAAUGAAUAAAAUUCUCCCCCCAAAAUAUUGAAACAGGUCACAGAGCAUUUGAUAUUUUGGGACCCAACGAUCUUCCAGCCUUCCAUUGUUACAUGGAAAGUUACUUCCUGCUCCGGACAGAAACUAACGGUUAUAAUAAUUUCUGAAAUCUAUUGUGGAGUUUGAAAUAUUUAGGAAUUGAGAAAAAAGACUCUUUUCUUCCGUCCCAAGCUGACUUUUAGAAGAGCUCCCCAAAUCACAGGCCUUCCUGGCCUUCUGAAGGGUAGAAAGGAAGCAUCUGAACACGUCACCUAACCAUAUUGGCGGGGCAGGCUUGGCCUUUGUUUUAUUGUAAUUGUUUUAAAAACCAUUUUAAAAUCUGCCUCCCUCACAGUAUCUUUAGUCCCCUCGUCUUAGAAGCCGAUACAUGAACAGAUUUCUGACUGUGGUACCGAGGCUUUAUCAACGCAGAGAUGCAGCAGUGUGAUGGUUAGAUGAAAAUCCUUCUGGAGUCCGGUGGAAGUCUAACUUUUUAAUUUGUUACAAACUCUUACAUGUCACUUUUUAUGUGCCAGGCCAUUAAAAAAUGUUUAAAAUGUUAAUAUUCAUUCAUUUCAUCCUUGUAAACAUUCUAUACUCUAGAUUUUAACAUUGGCCUCCUUCUACAGAGGCAGGGAUGGUUGGGGCCUACUACUCAAGGCACGCUGCUACUAAGUGGCAGAAUUAGGAUCCAAACCCAGGCAGCCUGAGUCUUGAGUCGGCUCUUCAAGACUUCUGGUUUACGGCUGGUGUGGUCGCGGAUCACAUACAUUCUUCCUCCUUCGUGAGAAGCUGAAGUCAGACACUGCAUCCUUACUCCUGGCACAGUGGCAAAAGUCCUUGGCCACUUUUCCUCCCCUGAUAUCAACUGUCACAUGCUUGAGGAAAAAAAGCUCCUCUCCAUGCCGGGGAGAGAGCCUCCGUUCUCGGCCGUUUCAGGUUGCUUGGGAGUCCUGUGAGUUUCAUGGUUUCGGUGCCUCCUCCCACACAGCAAACACCUCAACAGAAUGCCUGUUCUCUUUACUGAAUGUUUUCGAAUAUCCCUCACUUGGGAUUGAAGGCGAAACUCCUACCUUUCACCUGGUUGGUAUUCCUGGCCGAGACGUGCACAGGAGCCACUUAGAGAAGUAGGCGUUGGGAGCGGUACUCUGAAGGCCAGAAAAGCAUCCCUUUGUGAUGGGAGCAGAUAACGUGACAUAAUCCCCUGGCAUCCAAAGCAGAACAGGCUGUACUUUUUAGAAAUAGCACCCACCUCUUAACCAGUUAUUUUAGGGUCUGUGCAUCCUGAGCUGUCACCUGAGGUGACUGAAUGAAUCCUGAGAGGCGACUGCAUCCUGUGCUCUGGCUGCCCGGGGUCAGGGGGCAGGCAGGCACUUGGAGGCCCGGCUAGCCUGUCGGGGGCUCUAAAUAGCACCGGCCAGGCUCGUGCUCUCUCCUUUGAAAGUGCUUUGACCUUUCUAAUCAGCUCAAAAGAGGAUGAGGCAUAUUCUCCAUAGAGGUGAACUCCAGGCCAUUCUGGAGACAAGCCCAUGGGAGUUUUUAUGAUUCAUUCAGAUCGUCCAUCAGGAGAAUCCAGAGAGUCCUUCUUCAGCAAGUGCCCUGCUGGCUGCUGGUGUUGGCCCUGAGUGUCUGGGUACAGUCCUUCUGCCUUGACCUCCAGAUGAGCCUGGAAAGUCCUGCUGGCUUUCCAUGUGGGCACCACAGACAUGUGAUCUGCAGUGGCUUCUUGAAGGUAUCAUGUCUCAUGCCCACAGGGGAUGAAAAAUGUGGGAUUAGAAUAAUGUGGGUCUCGAAACUGAACUGGGAGCCUUGUGACUGAAGGAGAGUGGUAGGCAUGGGAAGAGAAAAGCUGGGAUCCCAGCUGGCUGUGCCCCUUCCCGCUGGGUGGUGUUGGGAAGUGCUCGGGGUCCUCCACUGCAGGCAGGAACAGGGGUCAGUGGGGGAGCAGGCUUCAAGGUACACAAAUGUUCACAGCAGCGUUAGUCAUUAAUAGUCAAAAAGUGGAAACAAUCCAAAUGUCCAUCAAAUGACAGAUGGGUAAAUAAAUGUGGUAUAUCCAUACAAUGGAAUAUUGUUCAGGAGUUAAACAGGAUGAAGUACUGACAUAUGCAUAACGUGGAUAAACCUUAAAAACAUUAUGCUCGCUGGGACCAGCCUCAUGGCCUAGUGGUUAAGUUUGGUGCGCUUCACCUUGGCAACCCGGGUUAGGUUCCUGGUCACAGAUCUACACUACUCAUUGUUGGCCAUGCUGAGAUGGCGACCCACAUACAAAAUAGAAGAAGAUUGGCACAGAUGUUAGCUCAGGGUGAAUCUUCCUCAGCAAAAAACCAAAACAAAACAUUAUGCUCAGUAAAAGAAGCCGGGCACAAAAGCUAUUGUACGAUUCGGCAUUGUAUGAUUCCAUUUAUAUGAACCAUCCACAAUAGGCAGGUCUGUAGAGACAGAAGAUUGGUAGUUGCUUAGGGCUGGGGCAGAGGGAGGAGGAGUGACAGCUAAUGGCUAUAAAGUUUAUUUUAGCGGUAAUGAAAAUGUUUUCAAAUUAGGUCGUGGUGAUAGUAGUACAGCUCUAUGAAUAUAGUGAAAACUACUGAGUUGUUUACUUUAAACGGGUGAAUUUAUGCUAUGUGAAUUAUAUCUCAAUAAAGCUGUUAGAAAAUGCUGUGUGAACAUAGGGAAGGAGAGAUUACUUUUGAUCCAGAUAUCUGACACCCAGAUGUAUGAAGGCUUCAAAUUUGAGGAGUAUUUGAAUGAGCAAAUGUUGAGAGGCAAAUUUUCCAGGUGGAAAAGCAUGGAAAAAAAAUCAUUCUAAACAGAAGCAAUUGUUUGCAAAGACAUGGAGGAAUGAAAAGGAAUGGCAUAUCUGGGAAGUGGCUGGAAGGUUGGAGUGGCUGGAGCACAGGUUAUGGUGGUAGGUGGCAGCAGACAAAGCUGGAAGGGUAGGGAGGAGCUGGAUUCUGAAGGGCAUUUUGCGUGCGCCAUGGAGUCGGGCACUGUUUUGUCCACAGCAGAAAGUCACUAAAGGUUUCAGUGAAGGGAGUGUCAUGAUCACAUUUAAGUUGUAGAAUGCAGUGAAGAGGAUGGUUUGUACCAGGGGAGAAAUAGAGAGAGGGAUAUAAGUUACAUGGCUUUUGCUAUUGUCUAGGCAGGAAAUAAUAAAGUCUUGGACUAAUAUGGUGUGAGUGAGAUGCAUUCAGGACAUCUUUGGGAGAUAGAAUGGUUAGGACCUAAUGACCCAUCCUUUUCAAAUGAGAAGGAGAAGGAGGAAGAGGAAGUGGAGAAGGAGGGUGGGGUGGGGGGAGGAGAAGAUGA